UACCCCAGAGUUUCGAAUAACCUGCCGAAAGGCGGGCUAAUACGAAAUAGAGCGAGGGAAUCCGUAAUGGGUUUUCGGGAAGGGAGGCCGCAAGGCCCCUUGCUUUGGGAUGAGCCUGCGUCUCAUUAGCUAGUUGGUAAGGUAACGGCUUACCAAGGCGAUGAUGGGUAGCUGGUCUGAGAGGAUGAUCAGCCACACUGGAACUGAAACACGGUCCAG
rnacentral:rRNA from 1 species